rnacentral:rRNA from 1 species
UACGAAGGGGGCUAGCGUUGCUCGGAAUCACUGGGCGUAAAGGGUGCGUAGGCGGGUAUUUAAGUCAGGGGUGAAAUCCUGGAGCUCAACUCCAGAACUGCCUUUGAUACUGAAGAUCUUGAGUCCGGGAGAGGUGAGUGGAACUGCGAGUGUAGAGGUGAAAUUCGUAGAUAUUCGCAAGAACACCAGUGGCGAAGGCGGCUCACUGGCCCGGUACUGACGCUGAGGCACGAAAGCGUGGGGAGCAAACAGG